GCCGACGUAGCUCAAUGGCAGAGCAACCGCCUUGUAAGCGGUAGGCUACGGGUUCGACUCCCGUCGUCGGCU
rnacentral:tRNA from 1 species